rnacentral:lncRNA from 1 species
ACACACACACACACACACACACGCCAGUCUUAUCAUAAGCCUGGCAGAGCAGCUCAGGAUGGAAAAAUUUCAUAAUUGAGAUGGAUGGAGGAGGUGCCACUAAAACUGGUGGAAAACAAGCCCCACCUGCCCCCACUCUACGUGAUGACACCUUUCCAGGAGCCCUCAGAUCCCUCCCUGCUUUUGUCCCCCCUUGAUCUGCCCUUCUUGUCCCCAAGUACUGUCAAGGACCUAGGAGAUCCCCUUGGGAGCACUGGAGUUUGGUGACAUACAGAAAGCCCAUUCCACCAAGAGUCGAGAUGGUGCCCCACCAGCCCUCAACCCUGGCCAGCUACAAACAUCUGGAGGCAGGAAAUUCACCCAGUGACCAGAAUCUUGGAGGAGGUACAUGAGUCUUAAAUGGAGCUCCCAAUACUACUCCAACUUCUACCCAGCCCCAGCAGGUCCUCGGGGACCCUCCAUGCUCCCCAAACCAAACGAUUCCUCCAUCUCUCCAUCUCUGGGUGCAGGAGGCGUGGCUUGAAGAGACGUUAAGAAAAAAAAUCCUGGAAUAGGUACAGGUUAAUGGGCAUCUCCAGUUAGCCCUGCACAGUGGGAUCAGAAAGACCACUAAGACCCAAGCAAGGGAGGCAAACAUGUACAAACUGAGCUGCAACUCAUGUUAGGAUAAUCUGAACUUCAAAGGCACAAUGGGCUUCUUGUGAGAUCCCAGGGAAGGAGCCAUGAGUGAGGUCUGGGUGACUGUGAAGGCUCUGGAGGACCUGGCGUUUGGACUAGACCUUGGGAGUGGAGCAGGGUUUCCACAGGGAGAGGAAACUGGGGAAAGAUUUUGCUGAUCCUUCAAGCUGCACCUACAAAGUGAGAUCAGAGAUUCUGAGCCCUGCCCUUUCUACCACACCAGCUGGGCAGGACAAAGGCAAAUUCAUGGAUCUGAGUGGAUAUGAGUCCAGACUGUGAUACCUGUUUGGGCCAGUCACAUGACUUCUCUGAGCCUUGAUUUUCUCACCUGUAAAACAGGAAUGCCAGCCAUUUCACAGAGUUGCCAUGAAGAUGAAAUCAUUCAAGCCAAAAGUGCCUGCCGCAUAAUAGAUGCUCAAUGUAUGUUUCUUGAGCAGAUACAUGUAACUUAUGGCACUUUACAAGGGAUUUCUCUCACAAACACAUUUUGAUCCUCCAACAACAUUUUGUCAUGGUCCCUGCUCUCAGUCUAGUAAUGUAAAAUAUUACUGACCCCCAUCACACAUUGCAAGCAGCACUCACUUCUUUGGAAAGCUGAGCUCUGCAUGCAACAUGCUGCCCAAGAAGGAAAGGAAGCAGCACUGGAGACCUGUGUUUCAUAGCUAACCAAGAUAAGGGCAUUUUUUUCCAAAUGUCUGUGGAGGGGGUCACACCAUUUUAACUAUUUACUGCUGUAACCCCAUUUUUAAAGUGUAGUCUGUGAGCCAUCUGAAUCAAAGUCUCUUGCAAAAUCCCGGCCAAAAUCCAGACAUACUGAAUCAGAGGGUCAGGUCCCAGAAUAGGCAUUUUGAACAAACUCAGGUUCAUAAAGCUUGAAAAGUUUUUGGGGCUGUUGUGCCUGUUGUUCUCUUAGUCUGGGACACUCUUGUCCAGAUUGACAAAGGGCUUGCUUCAUUCAGAUCUGCUUAAAUGUCUGCUCCUCAGAAAGGUCUUUCCUGACUACUCAAUCUAAUAGAGUAGCCUCUAUCACCUUCAUCCCCUUAAUGUGCUUGAUUUUUCAUCAAAGUGCUUACAACCUGAUAUCAUAUUACUCUUGUGUCUGUUUAUUGUCUGGCUCUUUCACUAAAUGCAAGCUUCAUGAACAUAUCCAUUUCACUGUUGUACCUUUAGUGCCUAGAACAGUGCUUGAUACAUAGUGGAUAUCAGAGAAUUACUCAUUAAAUGAAUGAAUAACUGCUCUAUGCCCUUGAAGAUUGCACUGGCCAUUAGCGCUGAUUGCCAAAUAUUUCCAGCCCUUUCCCCUUCUGAGCACAAGGUAGAAUUUUACAUCUGCUCCUGUUUGUAGAGUGGGGUCAUAUGACUAGUUCUGGCCAAUAAGCUGUGAGCAAAAGUGACUGGAGC